UUAAAGAGUUCUAUAACUCCCAAACCCAUGUGAACAUACCUAACGUUGCCUCGGCAGGUCGCACCUACCUUGUAGCACCCUACCCUGUAGGGCCUACCCGGGAGGUGCGGGUAAGCCUGCCGGCGGCCCACCAAACUCUGUUUGAUAUUGAAUUCUGAACCUAUAACUAAAUAAGUUAAAACUUUCAACAACGGAUCUCUUGGUUCUGGCAUCGAUGAAGAACGCAGCGAAAUGCGAUAAGUAAUGUGAAUUGCAGAAUUCAGUGAAUCAUCGAAUCUUUGAACGCAUAUUGCGCCCAUUAGUAUUCUAGUGGGCAGGACCGUUCGAGCGUCAUUUCAACCCUUAAGCCUUCGUUGCUUAGUGUUGGGAGCCUACGGCAACGUAGCUCCUCAAAGUUAGUGGCGGAGUUGGUUCACACUCUAGACGUAGUAAUUUUUUAUCUCGCCUAUUAGUUGGACUAAUCCCCUGCCGUAAAACCCCCAAUUUAUCAAGGUUGACCUCGAAUCGGUUCAGACAAACUCGCUAAAUUGAAGCAUCUUAGUCAGCGAAGGAAAAGAAACCAACAGGGAUUGCCCUAGUAACGGCGAGUGAAGCGGCAACA
rnacentral:rRNA from 1 species